AAGUAAUGAAGUAAAAAUUACACUUAGUUUCGACCUAAAAUUAGAGUACAACCUCCUUACUUA
rnacentral:tRNA from 1 species